rnacentral:rRNA from 1 species
AUGGCCACACCGCUCAUAGCUGGACUUGCUGUGGCAGCCACUGCUCUUGCGGGUAGAUAUGGCAUCCAGGCUUGGCAAGCUUACAAGGCAAGGCCCAUAGUUCCAAGGAUGCGUAAAUUCUAUGAAGGUGGCUUUCAAGCUACAAUGACCAAACGGGAAGCUGGUCUAAUCUUGGGUAUCAGGGAAAAUGUCCGUCCUGAUAAGGUGAAAGAGGCACACAAGAGGGUCAUGGUUGCCAAUCACCCAGAUGCAGGAGGAAGCCAUUACCUUGCGUCGAAGAUCAACGAGGCAAAAGAUGUUUUGCUGGGGAAAACUAAAGGAGGUGGUUCAGCCUUUUGA